AAUGGCGAACUGCAUCGCGAUACUAAAUUCCAGUUAUAUAAGAGGUUACGGGUUUAAACGAGACGGUGAAUAAUACGCGACGUUGUUGUAAAUCUCUUACGGUGGUCCAGGGACGUAAAUUUUGGACUCCGCCGGGCAUCACGAGGGCCCCCCGAUUAUACCAGACACAAAAAUAAAUGACCGUGAAAUAUGAUGCACGUAGCAUGCAUUGUCUCGGGUGUACCUUUCUGCGCUCUCCGGUAUACCAACAGCUUUUCUCUGAAGGUGCCCUUGGACAAUGGGGGCGUAAGUCUCAAAUAGCCCUCUAAUGAUACCGGAGCAGAGCACGCAACGGUGUAGUGUUUAUACAUAUAUAAAUAUAUCCUACCUGAAGAAGCAGUAGGUGUUGCAUCGACUGCAGGGGAUGCAUUUGUUGGUUUGCACAGGCUUAAAAUCUUCCUUAAAAAGAAUGCAGCUGAUAUGCACGCACGGAUCCAAUUUAGAAAGAUGCAUCUGUCAUUCGGCACGCUGGCGCAAGGAACGAAUUGGAGAAAAAGAAUAAAAUUUCUUAUGCCGAAGCUAAGAGGCAUAAAGUAAACGCAACAAGAGGAUAGGAUAACCCGAUGACCGGUAAUAUCAUAGCUUAGAAGGAGAAAGUAAUUGGACGAGGGUGGAACCCCCCGAAUUAUAAAUACAAAACAAAGAGAAGCCAUCAGUAGCAAUAAGGCGGGUUCGCAAGAAGCGGCACGGUCACGUAAACCGGUCCGUCGUUCGCGGCCAACUUCAAGGUUCUCAAUUCAUCGCGGCCAGUUUACAAGAAGCGACACCGACGUACCUGCAGGACGAUCCAGAAAGAAGUUACUUAAUGGACCCAUAACGAUAGGUAGAAUACGUUCGUUAUUUAUAAAAGGCUACAAGAAUAACUUUGAUAAAUAAACUGCUGUAUAAAAAGCAAAAUUAGAAAGAAAUUGGCUUCUCUAAGUAUACAUAUCUAGCUGGUGUGAGCGAGUGCGUGGGCAAAAAAUAAAAUUGAGCAACUCUCUUCGAAGCCACGAAAUUCUGAGCAAAUCCAGUAAUUUAAUUCGAUUAAAUGAACGAUAAUGGCAGCCUUCCCCUUCUCUUUCCUCCCCUCCCCAUCCAUUCCUCCCACUGCCACAAGAUCACUCGAUCGAAUCAAUUAACGCUAA